rnacentral:rRNA from 1 species
AGCGAACGCUGGCGGUAUGCCUAACACAUGCAAGUCGAACGACACCAUCGGGACUAGUGGCGCUCGGGUGCGUCAAGUGGGGGAACCGGCCCGAAGGCUCGGAAUAAUUCCCCGAAAGGGGUGCUAAUACCGGAAAAUGUCCGCGGACCAAAGAUUUAUCGCCUGUGGAUGGGCCCGCGUUGUUUUAGCUAGUUGGUAGGGAAAAAGCCGAUCAAGGCGACGAUCCCUAGCUGGGCUGAGAGCAUGAUCCGCCACACUCGGAGUGGGAUACGGCACCGACUCCUGCGGAAGGCAGCAGUACGGAAUAUUCGACAAUGCGCGAAAGCAUAAUCCCUCCAUGCCGCGUGAGCGCUGAGGGCCUUAGGGUUAUAAAGCUCUUUUACCCGCGAUGUUAUUACAAGUACCAGAAGAUUAAGCUCCGACUAACUCCGU